rnacentral:rRNA from 1 species
GCGGAAGAGAUAAGUGCUGAAAGCAUCUAAGCACGAAACUUGCCCCGAGAUGAGUUCUCCCUGAGACUUAGAGUCUCCUGAAGGAACGUUGAAGACGACGACGUUGAUAGGCCGGGUGUGUAAGCGCAGCGAUGCGUUGAGCUAACCGGUACUAAUGAACCGUGAGGCUUAACCUU